UGUGUGUCUGGCCAGAAAUAUAUAAAAAGAUGUAUAAAUAUUUUUGUUAUAUUAAUAUAUCAUAAAUAAAUAUGUGUAAAUAUGUAAAAAAAUAAGUAUAACUAUCCUUAGGGUUUGAUCUGGAAAAGGUAUUAAAAGGCCUACUUUUUUGUGAUCCCAAAUAUGUCUAUUAGGGAAGAAAAAUUAGAUACUCACAUCUGUUUUUCAGACACACAUUUUAUUUAUAGGCUGUGUCAUUGCUCUGCUGUGAGACCAUAUAUGUACAUGACAAGAAAACGGAGGCUAAAUAAAAACUGAGUACAUUUGGGGUUUGGUUUGGCAUCUGAAGGAAGUGGGGCUGGCUUGAGUGGGUUGGAGAUCAGAACAUACAUUCAGGUUGUCUGAAGGUGAGCAACAGGCUACACCAUGACUUUCUCGCUGCAGUGUCCUGCCUUACCACAGACCCAUAAGCAAUAGGGCCUGCCUGACAUGGACUGAAACAUCUGAGACAAAAGAAACCUUUCCUCUUUUGCCUUGAUUGUCUCAGGUAUUUUGCUACAACAAUUAAAUGCUGAAGAAC